GAUGAACGCUAGCGGCAGGCUUAAUACAUGCAAGUCGAGGGGCAGCAUGAUUGUAGCAAUACAAUUGAUGGCGACCGGCAAACGGGUGCGGAACACGUACACAACCUUCCAACAAGUGGGGGAUAGCCCAGAGAAAUUUGGAUUAAUACCCCGUAACAUAGCGAUGUGGCAUCACAUUGCUAUUAUAGAUUUUUCGCUUGUUGAUGGGUGUGCGGCUGAUUAGAUAGUUGGCGGGGUAACGGCCCACCAAGUCUACGAUCAGUAGCUGAUGUGAGAGCAUGAUCAGCCACACGGGAACUGAGACACGGGCCCGACUCCUACGGGAGGCAGCAGUAAGGAAUAUUGGACAAUGGACGCAAGUCUGAUCCAGCCAUGCCGCGUGAAGGAUUAAGGUCCUCUGGAUUGUAAACUUCUUUUAUCUGGGACGAAAAAAGGCGAUUCUUCGUCACUUGACGGUACCAGAUGAAUAAGCACCGGCUAACUCCGUGCCAGCAGCCGCCGUAACAC
rnacentral:rRNA from 1 species